rnacentral:rRNA from 1 species
UACGAAGGGGGCUAGCGUUGUUCGGAAUUACUGGGCGUAAAGGGCGCGUAGGCUGUGCUGUAAGUCAGGCGUGAAAGGCCCGGGCUCAACCUGGGAACUGCGCUUGAUACUGCGGCGCUUGAAGACGGGAGAGGAUGGCGGAAUUCCCAGUGUAGAGGUGAAAUUCGUAGAUAUUGGGAAAGAACACCGGUGGCGAAGGCGGCACAUC